GUCCCUGCACUGUGAAUAUUUUCCUCCAGGAGGCGCGCCUCUCGAUGACGUGCCGAUGCUGUUUCAGACCGCAAACAUUGGAGGGGGGAGUUUCUAACUUAUGUUCCACAGACAAAAACAUUUCAAAGGCCACUAAAAGAUGCUGCCGACAGGACUUGACGUUUGUUUCUGGAGGGCUCUUUGAGAUGAAGAUGAAAUGUCCUGACGCAAGUGAUAAUGUCCUUGUCCGAGGAUCCAGGGCUGUGACUGAACGAGCCGCCGCCAUCCUUGGUAAUAACCUUCUCGUUCUCACGAAAUCUAAAACUGCGUUGGAGCUACCAAAAGAAAAUAUUCACAGUGUUGUUGAUGUUUUCUACCGACUGUAAUUUCUGGACUAUAAACGUUACUUUUGUCACACGCUUUCAACCCAGCGGCUUAUUUAAUGAUGUGGCCUGUUAAGAAUUUUCCAACUGCCGCCAGGGAGCGCUCGAGAAGAAAAGGUUAUUAUAAUAUAAUUACGCUAUCAUGUGUCACAGUGAAAUCAACUGGCCAUGAGAGGGCGCAUUUCACCUGUGUUUUGAGCUGGACUGCAAUCUGAAAGAUGUGUGUCUGGGUCUAUGACAGAUUUGACCGAACAGUAAUUUUUAUGAAGACUUUAUUCACGACUGAACAUAAAACAUGUACAGCAUUAAUAAAAUAAAAUACUGAGAUAUGUCAAAUGGAAUUAACAAUAGAAAAGUAUAAAAAAAAUAGACAACAGCAGAAGCUUGUGAGCACUUUCCAGCAUGUUUUAUGUGCCCGAAACAUGCGGGAAAACAACUAAUCUCCCCUGCCUCACGGCUUUUCACACGGCCCACUGUGCGACACCGUUCAAAUGAGGCAUCGUGGAAGGAGAUCCAGUCAGUUAAUUUAUUUUUACUGAACCGCCCUGAUGAAGCCAAUGCAAUUUAAUUGACUCUUGAAAGCUGACCAGGUCACAGACAUGCCUCUUUCAUUUUAAGUACAGCACAGCA